UUACGGCCCUAUCACCUUGAAACACCGGUUGUCUUAUGAUCACCGAAGUUAAGCAACGUCGGAUCUGGUCAGUACCUAGGUGGGACACAGACUGGGGGAGACCAGGUGUUGUAAG